rnacentral:tRNA from 1 species
CGGCGAGUAGCGCAGUUUGGUAGCGCAACUGGUUUGGGACCAGUAGGUCGGAGGUUCAAAUCCUCUCUCGCCGAAAA